GCGCUUGUAACGAUUCGAAGAAGCAGUGUGUACCCUGUACUGCACUGGUACGGUAUUUUUCGUUCCACGAGUGUAGUGCAGCGAGAUCGAACGUUCGCCGAGCAAGGCAGCCUUGGUCUUACGACCUUUGAGACGUUGAAAAUUCGUCGUAGACGGUAGACAGUGUAUCGUUCCUUCGUGAAAGCUCGUACACAUAGGGAGGAAAGGAUCCUGUUGGCGAAAGGAUCAACAGAGAGAGAGAGAGAGCUGUGCACCACAGUAUACGUACAACCGUGUGAUACAACGUAUACAAGGAGAUGGAUACGAUGAGGUGUCGUGUUAAGGAUAAUCUGCAAGAAAAGUAUAGCGAGCCAGGAGCUGAUUAUACUUUACUUGGGACGCGUAUAACUUUUGUAUCGUAUAACCAGAACGACCUCGAUUGGCAAUAAAUUUCUCCUCUGUGACAUAAAAUAGCUGUUAAAAAGUUGCCAAACA